AACGAACGCUGGCGGCAGGCUUAACACAUGCAAGUCGAGCGCCCCGCAAGGGGAGCGGCAGACGGGUGAGUAACGCGUGGGAAUCUACCCAUCUCUACGGAAUAACGCAUGGAAACGUGUGCUAAUACCGUAUACGUCCUUCGGGAGAAAGAUUUAGCGGAGAUGGAUGAGCCCGCGUUGGAUUAGCUAGUUGGUGGGGUAAGGGCCUACCAAGGCGACGAUCCAUAGCUGGUCUGAGAGGAUGAUCAGCCACACUGGGACUGUGACACGGCCCAGACUCCUACGGGAGGCAGCAGUGGGGAAUAUUGGACAAUGGGCGCAAGCCUGAUCCAGCCAUGCCGCGUGAGUGAUGAAGGCCCUAGGGUUGUAAAGCUCUUUCACCGGUGAAGAUAAUGACGGUAACCGGAGAAGAAGCCCCGGCUAACUUCGUGCCAGCCGCCGCCGUAACAC
rnacentral:rRNA from 1 species